AUGGCAGCCAUCCGUGCGCCCCUCUGCUAUGUGACUCGAAAUCGAGCUCGGGCUCGAUGCGGUGACUGCGUUCAUCGUUGUAAUUACCGCGGCCACCGUCGCCUCCCUCGCGCGGGAAGACGGCCAGGAGAUCCGCAGUUGUCGUCUUCGUCUUCCCCGUGCACCAAAUCGAGCCAGGGCGGCCCGUACGCCCGCCAUCGCCGACGUCUUCACUGCGUACAUCGCCGUCCUCCACCAUCGUUUGCCACAGCUCCGGACCGUCCCCGGCCUCCCCGACCUCGUCAUCGAGUUCGCAACUGCGAGACUCACGCCGCUGCUGGUGCCCCGAUCGACUACUGUGUCAACGAACCCUCCUUGCCAGAGCAACCAGCAUGGUGGUUGUGGAUUCGUGGAAUGGCAUGA
rnacentral:rRNA from 1 species